UACGGGGGGGGUAAGCGUUGUUCGGAAUUACUGGGCGUAAAGGGCUCGUAGGCGGCCAACUAAGUCGGACGUGAAAUCCCUCGGCUUAACCGGGGAACUGCGUCUGAUACUGGAUGGCUUGAGUUUGGGAGAGGGAUGCGGAAUUCCAGGUGUAGCGGUGAAAUGCGUAGAUAUCUGGAGGAACACCGGUGGCGAAGGCGGCAUCCUGGACCAACACUGACGCUGAGUGAGCGAAAGCGUGGGGAGCGAACAGG
rnacentral:rRNA from 1 species